GCGUGACGCAGAGGAAAGAUAAAUUCCAUUCCAGUGUGAUGUGUACGCUGAUUUCAUAAUGUUUUUAUCCUGCAUGAUUCUGUUUAAGCAUUGUUCACCCAAGAGAGUGGUUAGUGUUGCUUAUGGAAAACCUGGUUAGUUUUGAUCGAUAUCUCUAGUUGCUUUACUGCGAGGGAAAAGGUUGACUUGUUUGCCUACUUUAAGGUUUUGUGGGGGAGUGGCAGAUUUUCAGAGGGUAACCUGGUGCUGGAUUCUGGUUUUACUGUGGAGUUCUGGCUGGCCUUGAACUCACUUUGUAG